AUCUAAAGUUUGAAAUUCUUUUUCAAAUCAAAGGCACUGCCAAACUCAGAAGCAACUGUGUGAAGAAAAUGUGUGGAAACACCACUCAUUACAGUAUAUUUAUCAAAUGAAGGAUUGGUUGGCCUGGCUUCCUUGACAAAAGCUCUUGGAGAUGUCAUCGUGCAGUUGUACAACUUCAGAUUU